AUUGAACGCUGGCGGCAGGCUUAACACAUGCAAGUCGAACGAGUGGCGGACGGGUGAGUAAUGCUUGGGAAUCUAGCUUAUGGAGGGGGAUAACUACGGGAAACUGUCGCUAAUACCGCGUACCAUAGGAUGAGCCCAAGUGGGGUUAGCUAGUAGGGGGGGUAAAGGCUCACCUAGGCGACGAUCUCUAGCUGGUCUGCGAGGACGAUGUGCCACACUGGGACUGAGACACGGCCCAGAUUCCUACGGGAGGCAGCAUGGGGGAAUAUUGCACAAUGGGCGCAAGCCUGAUGCAGCCAUGCCGCGUGUAUGAAGAAGGCCUUAGGGUUGUAAAGUACUUUCAGCGGGGAGGCGUUACUCGCAGAAGAAGCACCGGCUAACUCCGUGCCAGCAGCCGCGGUAAUAC
rnacentral:rRNA from 1 species